GAUAGAUAGAUAGAUAGAUAAGAUAGAUAGACAGAUAGAUAGACAGACAGACAGAUGGAUAGGCUAGUAUAGAGAGAUAGGCAGACAGCCAGAUAGCAUAAGGUUAGCAUAUCUUCGUGUAGAAAGUAAACAAACAAUUAACAUACUCGUGCAUGCUGGCUUGAGGGGGUCCAUGAUCCUGCCUGAAAUGGGUGUAACUUUAUGCGAUCUUCAGCACAAACGGUUUUGGCAGCAUGUCUCUAAUCCUGGAAGGUGAGUGAAGCACGUCACGUCUGUUCGCGGGGACCAGCGACCCAAACGCACUCACUUUCUAACAGCCAGUAGCGGAAUGGCAAUCGAGAGAGUCGGGACUUUCCCGGGCCGAUCUGAUAAUAGUUAUACAUUUCGAGUUAUAUUAGCAACACCGUCUGGCGGCGUGAUGUGCGCCGGUUCCCGCAGCCCGCUGGUCAAACUGUGCAGGCAGCCUCUCUGCUCAAUAAAGUAUAUAAAAGUGCUCAACCUGUUCGGCAGGUCCAAACAUGUACAGGAUUUAUAAAAAUACGGUGAUCAAUGAGCGGUUCCUCCUCAAAUGGCUUAGCCUGUCGUGAUGUAAAAAGCCGCCGAACGCCUGUUUAUUACAGUAUGUAUGCGGUCGGAUCCGAGUGUGCUGCAGCUGCUGACUGCUUCUGCGUAUAAAAUGAUCGUGUGAUUCGUUAUAAUCGCAUAAACAAUAUAACAAAGCAUCCUUUUAUUUCACAAAACAAUAUAUUUGAGAUAUUAUUUGAUAGACUACUAAGUGUGGAUUAAGGAUGUUUAAAAAUCUCUAGCCUGGUGGUCAGGACAUGAAUGGAUCAAAUCAGCAGAUUUGCGAAGUUUUAUUUAUCUCCACAUAUAUCAUAAAUAAUAAUUAGCAAGGUAACUUUGCAGUAUAACACAUUAUAUAUUUCCUACGAUGUAUAUAUGAUUUCCAAAUUAUAUAUGUAAGUAUUAAACAGCAAUAAAUGUCUCAUCUAUCUCUAUGGCUCUGGCUGAGUCUUUCUCCACUUCUCCCCAACGUGACGUCAUCGCAGAAUUGCGUUAAAAAAACCGUUAAUACCAAAAACGUAAAAAAAGUGGUCUUUAAGACCAUUUUUGAGACAUUUUAAAAAUUAUACACAUAUCUUGAGUGAUUUAUGUACCCAUUAAUCGACAGUGGUGGUUAACCUGCAACAUACACUUUAACAACACGCAGUUGACGGUAAUUUACCUCACUGUUGUGAACAAGAUAGUUAGAGAGCUUUGAGGUAGAAACUCGUUUAAGACUGAAGAAAACGCAACUUUCUGUGCAUAUAAUCAUAUUUAAUUAUUUUCUUCCCCUUUUUAGAACAUUUCACCAUCAACAUAUUAACAUAAACGGUUCUCUUUUUCUUGUUUGACUGCGUUUGGUACAGGUCACAACAACGACGGCAGAUGUAGAGACCACGCUUUCCCUUGCUUCCACUCCACGGCUGAUCAUGCUUGAGGAUCCAGAUCUACAAAACAAAAAAUGGAUGCUGCCGAUUGAAGGCUAAGUCCGCUUUCCUGCGAUUGACCUACCAUUUCUUCAGCAUUUGCUGUUCACUUUGGUUGCUACUACGUGCUCAACAUCGAGUACCAUGUGCAAGCAGCCACUACUUUGGAGUUUAUUCAGAGAUUUAUUGUGAGGAUCAGCCCCGACAACAGCAAGUGCUCCUCUAACUUCCAGGUGAGCAAAAGAAGUGGGAAGAUGGUGCAAAGGAAGAACUCUGGCCUGAACCAUCAUGUAUAUAUCCACCUUUAUUAAGGACUUUAUGAAUUAAGCAAAACUAUUAAGCAACUAAAGCAAAUACAUUCUACUCAACUCACCAGAGACGGUUUCAUCGGACGCACAUGACACACGUCUGGAUCCGAUCCUUACUUCCGGUUUCGCUUUUUUAAUGGUCUGACUAGUUGCUAAACUGAUCUCUUGAAAAAAAGCCUCGUUGAAAAUAACAAAUGUUUUGGUUUCCGAGCUAAUCUAUGUGUUGUUUUUUUGCUUGUUAUAUAAAUAAAAUGCGUUUAAAGAACUUUGUUGUUUUUUAUUCUUAGCGGAGUUUAUCGGAAGUUCAUGCGGACCGCGACAGCCGCUUGUUUAUGAUGUUACUGCUGAAACCGUCUAUAGUUAUAACUGAAUUUGUACUAGUAUUAUUUGAUAAUACUGUGAAAUGAAACAGUGAGUAAAUGUUACAUUGGCUUUGAAAAAGCUGUUGCUGCAAGAAAUUACAAUUUACUCAGAAUAAUAUUUUGAAUGUAUAAGUUUUUGACAUUGUUUAUGACUGCAUUUGAAUGUAUUGUUCAUGAAUUGAUGCUGUGAUAUGUGUGUGUAAAUGUUUUGUAUUUUACUCAGGAAAGUAUUUUGUAUUUGAACAUUGUUAUUAUGACUGAGUUAGUUCAUGACUUGAUUUAAAAUUCUGUAAUAUGAUAUCUAUGAGUAAAUGUUAUUGCAGGUUUAAGAAAAACAGUUUGUGAUGCAAGCUGAAAGUUCAGUGUGCAAAAAAUAUGAAAAUCUGAUUUCAUGUAUUUGAAAAACUAAAAGAAAUUUUAAAAACAUGUUGUCAUUGCUUAUUUUUGUUAUUUACUUAGAGCUGUUUUAACACCUCCAUUUAAAUUUUGUGCAGUUUUGUAGUAAAUAGAAAUGGGAAAAUGAAUCACAGGA